rnacentral:rRNA from 1 species
UUAGCUGGUGAGAGCGGCGGACGGGUGAGUAAUGUCUGGGAAACUGCCUGAUGGAGGGGGAUAACUACUGGAAACGGUAGCUAAUACCGCAUAACGUCUUCGGACCAAAGAGGGGGACCUUCGGGCCUCUUGCCAUCAGAUGUGCCCAGAUGGGAUUAGCUAGUAGGUGAGGUAAUGGCUCACCUAGGCGACGAUCCCUAGCUGGUCUGAGAGGAUGACCAGCCACACUGGAACUGAGACACGGUCCAGACUCCUACGGGAGGCAGCAGUGGGGAAUAUUGCACAAUGGGCGCAAGCCUGAUGCAGCCAUGCCGCGUGUGUGAAGAAGGCCUUCGGGUUGUAAAGCACUUUCAGCGGGGAGGAAGGCGGUGAGGUUAAUAACCUCAUCGAUUGACGUUACCCGCAGAAGAAGCACCGGCUAACUCCGUGCCAGCAGCCGCGGUAAUACGGAGGGUGCAAGGGUUAAUCGGAAUGACUGGGCGUAAAGCGCACGCAGGCGGUUUGUUAAGUCAGAUGUGAAAUCCCCGAGCUUAACUUGGGAACUGCAUUUGAAACUGGCAAGCUAGAGUCUUGUAGAGGGGGGUAGAAUUCCAGGUGUAGCGGUGAAAUGCGUAGAGAUCUGGAGGAAUACCGGUGGCGAANGCGGCCCCCUGGACAAAGACUGACGCUCAUGUGCAAAAGCGUGGGGAGCAAACAGGACAUA